CCACAAUGGUUGAACUAAUUUACACUCCCACCAACAGUGUAAAAGUGUUCCUUUUUCUCCACAUCCUCUCCAGCAUCUGUUGUCUCCAGAUUUUUUAAUGAUCACCAUUCUAACUGGCGUGAGAUGGUAUCUCAAUGUGGUUUUGAUUUGCAUCUCUCUGAUGACCAGUGACGAUGAGCAUUUUUUCAUAUGAUUAUUGGCCUCAUAUAUGUCUUCUUUCGUAAAGUGUCUGUUCAUACAUAUCCUUUGCCCACUUUUGAAUGUGUCUACGGCCAUACCACCCUGAACGCGCCCGAUCUCGUCUGAUCUCAGAAGCUAAGCAGGGUUGGGCCUGGUUAGUACUUGGAUGGGAGACAUCUCAUUUUCAGAUGGACUGUCAUGGUGUCACAGUGCUUGUGUUCAAGUCGCUCUUAUUUUACCUAAGAAUGGCCCUAAAGCGUGGAGGUACUGAUGCUGGCAUAUUGUUACAAUCAUUUUAUUACUAGUCGUUGUUGCUAGUCUCUUACUGUUCCUAAUUUAUAAAUUAAACUUUAUCAUAGGUAUGUAUGUAUAGGAAAAACCACAAUGUAUUUUAAGGCUCAGUUUUAUCCAUGGUUUCAGGAUUUUUUCCUCCUGCGGAGGAGGUUUUUGAACAUAUCCUCCGCAGCUAAGAAGGGGCUACUGCAUAAAGUCACAUCUGGGAGGUCCUCCUAGCAGGUCCAUAUGUUCACAUUCCAUAUGUUUUGCUUGCCUUUGACAGCUCCUAGCCAAUCAAGUCCCAUUAAACCAUUUCAGAUUAUAUUCUUUGCAUAACAAAAUGAGUCCUUCGUAUGGUGUCGGGGUGGGAGGUAGGGGAAGAUGAUAUGUUACACACAUCCUCAUGGCACGGAAACAGUAAAAAAAAAUCAUCUUUCUAGACAAUUUAAGCCGGGACGUCUCCAACUCGAAAACAGAACUCUGACCUGGACAUGUGUCUGGAAUCUCUCCGUAUAUCCUACAAAAUUUUUUUCAACUUUUAUUACAGGUUCAGGAGAAACAAACUGGGAGUUAGUUAUUGACAGCCCCCAGGAAGCAUAUCCUCAGGGAUGUUCUGGGCUGGCAGCUGGGAUGGGGGCCUACUAGCCAUAGCUUGGACUCAGACACAAGUUCCAUGUCUUCAGAGCCAGCAGCCACCUGGUGAGUCAUGCCUGCUUAAUUUCUCCUCUGCCUGCUCUAAGCUUCAAAAAGAUGCCAGGCUCUUUUCCUACAAGUCAUUUCUUGAAACUGCCUGGUUUCCAGGAUUUCAUAUCUUUCAGCUUCCCCCCACACCCCAGUUUUUAUGCUCACAGAGUUCUUAACAAGCACAUUGAAAAGGAGAAUUGAACACAGUGUUCAUGACUCUGUUUCCCAGUGAGAGUGCCUGGGAAGGGAUGACACAUCAAAACAUCUGCUUUGCUCACAGGGCCCUGCUCAGACACCUUCUCUGAUCUAGUCUCCCAGACUGUGAGGAUUGCAUGUCCCAGGGGAGGACAACUGGCUCAGGGUGCCACAAUAGGGCACUUGCCCUGGAAAUGGGAAAGGCUCUUAUUACUCCCAGGAAGAAAGGGUUAAAAUUACAAACUCUCUCAGAAGGACAAUUUUGCUGGGGGAACUUAAGAAUCACACAGUAGCCAGGCACAGUGGCUCAUGCCUAUAAUCCCAGCACUUUGGGAGGCUGAGGAGGGUGGAUCACAAGGUCAAGAGACUGAGCCCAUCCUGGCCAACAUGGUGAAACCCAUCUCUACUAAAAAAAAAAAAAAUGCAAAAAUUAGCGAGGUGUGGUGGCGUGUGCCUGUAGUCCCAGCUACUUGGGAGGCUGAGGCAGGAUAAUCACCUGAACCCAUGGGGCAGAGGUUG
rnacentral:lncRNA from 13 species